ACCCACGUAUUUAUGAUUAAACUAUACUUCAGACUUCACAUUAAUUUUGUGUAGAUUCACUUUCACUUUCUGAGUUAAUUACCAAUGGCUAUUUGUCUAAGGAAGUUAGAAAUGAAAGUGGUAAAAUGGCAGUAGAAUAGUGACUAGAUGUAUACAGUGCAAAAACCAAAGAGAGUAGAUUUUUUUUUUUAUUUUUAUUUUUCACAUUUUGUGGCAUAUCUUCUGAAGUAAAAGUGAUAUGAUCUAUUUGAGUGCAGGUACUGAAAGUUCAAUUAUUGGCGCUUCCAUUGGACCACCACCUGUUACAUCAUAUGACAUCAUCACUAUGAAAUGGCUGUCUGAAGAUGUGUACCUCCGAAAAUAUGUUAGGAAUAGAAGUAGCUUAUUUGUUUGAGUUAAGAUCUGAAAUUUAUUGUGUAUGUACCUGACUAUAUUGCUCAUCUUUUGAGCUUCAACGGAAGUCUGGGCUGCUAGUAAGUUCUGAGAAAUACUGAAUUUUGUUGUUUUUUGGUGGCAAAUAUGUUAGGAAUACAACUUUCGAUUUUAUGCUAGUUAAGGUCUGAUUUUUGAGGAGCAUGUACUACAAUAGCAUAGAAUUCAUCUGUACUAACUUACAGGAGCUAGACCAGUCUCAUCUUUGCUAGAGCGGCCCUUCUUGUCAAAAAUGGUGAUUUUGCUCCGUUUUGCUACUUUUGCUGACGUAUGCAAUGAUAUUCAUUGAUUUGUGACAUCACAAAUCAUCUUGUUGUUAUUUGCUACAUCCAAAGGUCAUGUGAUGUCUACCUGCAAAUACACAGUUGGUGUUGGUCAUUCUGUGUCACAGGGGCGUGGUAAUUGAGCUUACUACGUAGCCAAAUUGCCCCAAAAGUCAUAAAAAGCACUGUUUUUGACAAGAUGGGCCGCUCUAGCAAAGAAGAGGCUAGCCUAACUCCUUCGAUCGUAGUGUCAGUGCAUAACGGAGCCGCCUGGCUGGAUGAGGAUCUCAGCUCAGUCCUAGCUGGAGCAGACCAUGCGUGGAAGUGUCUGCAAUGCUUCCACUCUGGGAAGGAUCAUGAAAACUGACCGAAGAGCUAGUUCUAGAGCUAUUCGUUUGUAUUAUGAGAUUUAAAAAACGUUCGCAUGCAUAGAUAUAUAUUUCUAAAAUAAUGA